GCCCAACCGUAAAAUAUUAACCUACACCCACUAACGCCAGGGUAUUACGAGCCCUAGCUUAAAACCCAAAGGACUUGACGGUGUCCCAUCCAACUAGAGGAGCCUGUUCUAUAAUCGAUAACCCCCGAUACACCUAACCCCCCCUUGCCAAUCAGCCUGUAUACCUCCGUCGCAAGCUUACCAUAUGAAUGCCAACAGUAAGUUUAAAGGUCACAACACCCACACGUCAGGUCAAGGUGCAGCUAAUGGAGGGGCAAGCAAUGGGCUACAAUUUCUAAUCUAGAACACACGAAAUGCUUCAUGAAACAACCACGAAGGUGGAUUUAGCAGUAAAAAGAAAAUAAAACGUCCUUUUUAACAGAGCCCUGGGACGUGUACACACCGCCCGUCACCCUCUUCAAUAGUAAACUCUAUGUUACUAACAACCUUUAACGCUUUAGAAGAGGCAAGUCGUAACAUGGUAAGUGUACCGGAAGGUGCACUUGGAUCAA
rnacentral:rRNA from 1 species